GACGAACGCUGGCGGCGUGCUUAACACAUGCAAGUCGAACGGAAAGGCCCUGCUUUUGUGGGGUGCUCGAGUGGCGAACGGGCGAGUACCACGUGAGUAACCUGCCCUUGACUUUGGGAUAACUUCAGGAAACUGGGGCUAAUACCGGAUAGGAGCUCCUGCUGCAUGGUGGGGGUUGGAAAGUUUCGGCGGUUGGGGAUGGACUCGCGGCUUAUCAGCUUGUUUGUGGGGUAGUGGCUUACCAAGGCAUUGACGGGUAGCCGGCCUGAGAGGGGGACCGGCCACACUGGGAUUGAGAUACGGCACAGACCCCUCCGGGAGGCAGCAGUGGGGAAUGUUGCACAAUGGGCGGAGGCCUAAUGCAGUACAGCCGCGUGCGGGAUGACGGCCUUCUGGUUGUAACCCGCUGUCGCCUGUGACGAAGAGUGAGUGACGGUAACGGGUAAAGAAGCACCGGCUAACUACGUG
rnacentral:rRNA from 1 species